rnacentral:tRNA from 2 species
GUGGGUAUGGCGCAGUUGGUUAGCGCGCCAGAUUGUGGAUCUGGAGAUCCAGGGUUCGAGCCCCUGUACCCACCCGA